rnacentral:sRNA from 1 species
GAGGAACACUCUGCUGCUCAGGCCCCCGACUGAUAAGUGAUUGAGACUGUCUGUGAAUCAUGGAUACUUGGACAUGCUGAGCCUGGGGAAGAAUCACCCUGGACUGAUGCCCGAACCGAAUAGGCCUGAUCCAGCUGGCCUUUCCAGGUCUCAAGUACAAACCGAUGGCACGGAUCUCUCUGGACACCACAGGGAUGUGGAGGCGAGAGUGAAGUCUUGGAGCACACAGAUGAUACUUCAAGUCCUGAUUCUGCCACUUGCUCAGUGGGUGACCUUGGAGAUGGAAUUUCACCAUGUUGCCCGGGCUUGUCUCGAACUCCUGAGCUCAAGUGAUCUGCCUGCCCGCCUCAGCCUCCCAAAGUGCUAGGAUUACAGAUGAAUGGAAAAAACGAUGGGUGCAGUCUAAACAUCAGCCAGAUUAUGGUAAAUUUCAGCUCGCUGCAGGAAAAUUUUAUGGAGACAAAGAAAAAGAUAAAGGUCUCCAAACCAGUGAACAUGCCAAGUUUUAUGCCUUCUCAACCAGGUUGAAGCAUUCAGCAAUGAGAAUGAGACCUUGGUGUUUCAGUUUUCAGUAAAACACAAGCAAAGGAAGUAUUGUGGUGGCGGAUAUGUAAAACUCUUUCCUGCCACCCUGAACCAGGAGGAUAUGCACUCAGGACCCAAGUAUUACAUCAUGUUUGGCCCUGACGUUUGUGGCUUUGGCAACAACAAAGUACAGGUCAUCCCUCAUUACCGAGAGAAAUACCAUGAGAACAAGACCAUCAAGUGCAGGGCUGGGGACAGAGUGGGCCAGACAUGGCCUUUGACUUCACAGAACUCACAGUCAAUGAAGGUAAGAGUCAAGCAAAGUGACUACCUAGUAUGCUGGGCAUCUGUGGGAGCACAGAAGAGGACCCCUACCCAACCUGGAGGCUAAGGAAAUACUUCUUAGAUCAAUAAAGACCCUCACCUGUACACUCUGAUUAUUCGCCCCAAUGCUACUUAUGAGGUUAAAAUUGACAACCAGCAGGUGGCAGCUGGGGCUCUGGAGGAGGACUGGGACUUCUUGCCUCCCAGGAAAAUAAAAGACCCUAUGCCCAGAAACCAAAGAAAUGGGAUGAACGCCUGCACAUAGAGGAUCUGGAAGACAAGAAACCUGAGAUCAGAGGGCAUUUGGCUGGGAAGCAGGUGGGAUCUCAGCUGUGGAGAUAGGAGAAGGAGGCUGGGAAUGAUGGAGCAGAGACUGGGGACAUCAAUCCCUCAAGGUGGUGUUCAGCUAGAUAUUGUUUUCCAAAGAGGCAUGGAGGGAAGAGGGCAGCCAUUCACCUUUGUUGGGGAUCCAGCAGCCUCUGUGAACAAUGUGUUAUGAUCCCUCUUUUGUGGAUAAGGAAACUGAUGCUUAGAAAAUGAAGUAACUUGCCCAAGCAAAUAUGUGUUAGAACCAAGAUUUGAACCUACAUCUUUUUGACUCUUAAGUUAUCAAUAUGGGGAAUGUGUGGAGUAUACUCAUUGGCUCAUUAUUAUACUCAUUGGCUCAUUAUUAUUAUUCUGGGAAGCUGUACUGGAUAUAGCUAUGAAUAGAACAACCCUUGCCCUCUAGGGAUUCUGAAUAUAGUAAGGGAGGCAGAUAAGAAAACAAAGAUCAAAAUAUGUGAUCAGUGCUGAGAGCCAGGGAGGCAAGCCAGUGAGAGCCCAAAAGCGGAUCCCAGCCCAGCCUGAGUUGAGGUGUAGGCAGUGGUCUGAGAAAGAGAAGGAAAUGCUUGAGUGAGUGAGUUACCCUAAGAGUUGGAAACAUAAACUCUGGGGUCAGGCUGAUAUGGGUUUGAGCACCACCUUUUUCUAACUAUGGGACCCCAUCCUACUAGCAGUUAACUCUGCACAAGGAAUAUAACUGCUGUGAAAGUCAACUUCACAAACAGGGAUUAUUUUAAUACUUACCUGUGAAGGUUACUGUGAAGAUUAAAUGAGCUAAUAAAAAAUACAU